GACGCUGGCGGCAGGCCUAACCAUGCAAGUCGAGCGGAAACGACACUACAGAUCCUUCGGAUGAGUUAAUGGGCGUCGAGCGGCGGACGGGUGAGUAAUGCCUAGGAAAUUGCCUUGAUGUGGGGGAUAACCAUUGGAAACGAUGGCUAAUACCGCAUAAUGCCUACGGGCCAAAGAGGGGGAUCUUCGGACCUCUCGCGUCAAGAUAUGCCUAGGUGGGAUUAGCUAGUUGGUGAGGUAAUGGCUCACCAAGGCGACGAUCCCUAGCUGGUCUGAGAGGAUGAUCAGCCACACUGGAACUGAGACACGGUCCAGACUCCUACGGGAGGCAGCAGUGGGGAAUAUUGCACAAUGGGCGAAAGCCUGAUGCAGCCAUGCCGCGUGUAUGAAGAAGGCCUUCGGGUUGUAAAGUACUUUCAGUUGUGAGGAAGGGGGUAACGUUAAUAGCGCUAUCUCUUGACGUUAGCAACAGAAGAAGCACCGGCUAACUCCGUGCCAGCAGCCGCGGUAAUACGGAGGGUGCGAGCGUUAAUCGGAAUUACUGGGCGUAAAGCGCAUGCAGGUGGUUCAUUAAGUCAGAUGUGAAAGCCCGGGGCUCAACCUCGGAACUGCAUUUGAAACUGGUGAACUAGAGUGCUGUA
rnacentral:rRNA from 1 species